rnacentral:rRNA from 1 species
AACAGCAGCCAUGUCACCCUGCAGCUCACAUCUGGUAACCCACUGAAGCUCAGCAGGUGUGAGCCUGGUCAGCACCAUGAUGGGAGACCUCCUGGGAAAAACUAAGGUUGCUACUGGAA